AUUCGGUCGGGCAGCCCCUCCAACACACACACUUUUUUUUUUUUUUUUUUUCUUUAAGGACUGAAACUUUAUUUAAAACAAUCCGUUGGCGAAAGCGUCAGUGGGGUAAAUUCUCAGACCGUGGCAGAAUUCCUGAGUGGUGGUAUGGCCUCACCUAUGGAGGAAGGAGGCGCACGGCCCAUUGAACAGUCUGAGGAGAGGGUUCUGUCCAAGGCUGGGUUAGAUGAAGGAGCUCGGCUGCUAUCCCUAGAUUUACAGUGCUUGCCGAUGGAGUGAAGCACUGGGAGUGCGCGGUGCGAGGCGUAGACACCUCCACGACUACACGAGGAAUGGGCGCCCUGACCUCACCCAAUUUGAGAAAGCAGGCUGAAAAGAAAAGUCUUUCUAGAAUAGCUCCUGUCCCUGGCGAGCUGCUGGCUAACUCUCCGAAGAUCGCGGCACUACAUUUUGCCCUAAUUAAGCCGAGACGGCUGUGGACCCGGUGGCUUUGCCAUAGGGCUCUCCUCUUACAGCUUCAGGCCACCUCUCAUUUGUAAAGGAGCUCUGUUACAUAACAGCCCUUCAAAAAGAUAUCCCCGAGCCGCUUCCCUGAAGCGAAGGUCUCGUUCAGGGUUAUUUCCAAGUCCUGUCAUUGUUUCCUUGACUUCACUUCAAAUGUUACUGAUUUAACUUUGACACUUCAGCCUUAGGCAUCCAGUUAAAGAAAAGAAAAAAAAAAAUCUACCCUUUUUUCUUUAGACUCUAGUCUUAUCCCUUAUCAUUUUUACUACUGGCUUAAAUGCAGCGUUUAUUGGAACCGUUACGAGCAUACAUGUUUUAAGGAGUGGAACUUUAUUUUGAAAAAUCCGUUGGCGAAGACGUCUGUGGGGUAAAUUCUCAGACCAUGGCAGAAUGGUGGUAUGGCCUGGGCUGUGGCUCACACAUCACACAUGGAGGAAGUAGGUAGCACGGCCAAUAGAGCGGUCUAAGGAGAGAAUUUUUAAAAAUCUUCAGCAUUAUGAAUAAUUUUAAAGUAUUAUUUGGAGGUACAACAUUUACCCUAUCAAGUAUAUUCUGCCUAUAAAAUAAUGUUUCCUUAAGAUGGGUCAAAUUUCAUUUAUUUCUCUAGGAUUUUAAAGCUUUAUUUUCUCUACUUAACAAGUGAAGCAUUCUUGAUUUUCCUACCUUUUUAAAUAGGAAAACUAUUUGUUUGAGACAGAGAGAGAGAGAGAGAGAGAGAGAGAGAGAGAGAGAGAGAGAGAGAGAAGGCAGACAGAGUUCAGGCAGCUUUUGGGUGUUGGUUCUCUCUUGGCUUACAGAUAGGAGCUCAAGUUGUCAGUCACGCCUAGGAAGUCCUUUCACCCACUGACCCAUCCUGCCAACCCAAUUUUUCUACAAAGACCUGUGUGAAUCAUCAUGUCUUUUGGCCAGAGCAUACUAAAUGGAAAAAGGGUUCCAUCAUCCAACCAGAGGUACUGAAUACCUCAGGGUCACUAGGGACAUUAGACUACUGGAUUGUCAGCCUAAUUUUAGCUGGAUGAGCACUAGCAGAAGCAUAAUCACUGUCCCAAGAUAUAGUGACAAUUUUAGAUUUUGGUUUCUUUUUUUUUGGAGGGUGGGGAGGGUUGAGACAGGGUUUCUCUGUAUACUCUUGGCUGUCCUGGAACUCACUUUGUAGACCAGGCUGGCCCCAAACUCAGAAAUCUGCCUGCCUCUGCUACCGCGCCCUGCUGGAUUUUGGUUUCUUUAAAAAACACAAAAAUAUAAGACUGUGUUUUCCUUUUAAUUCCAGAUGUAGGAAUAAGGUGCUGCUUUGGACUCUCUCCAGCAGCUGACUGACUGCCCAGUGCAUUAUCAGAGGCAUGGUUUUGCCAGCUCCAGACAGUUUCUGUGAUUGUGUGAUGUUUGGAAUUCUAGGAACUUUUCAGAGGGUAUAUAAAUGCUAGCGCCCUGGUAUUGGUGGUUGUUGGUCAUUCAGGUUGUGGUUUGUUAGUAGUAGUGCUCAAAGAAGAAACG
rnacentral:lncRNA from 1 species